rnacentral:rRNA from 1 species
GAUGAACGCUGGCGGCGUGCCUAAUACAUGCAAGUCGAGCGAACAGACGAGGAGCUUGCUCCUUUGACGUUAGCGGCGGACGGGUGAGUAACACGUGGGUAACCUACCUAUAAGACUGGGAUAACUUCGGGAAACCGGAGCUAAUACCGGAUAAUAUUUCGAACCGCAUGGUUCAAUAGUGAAAGAUGGCUUUGCUAUCACUUAUAGAUGGACCUGCGCCGUAUUAGCUAGUUGGUAAGGUAACGGCUUACCAAGGCAACGAUACGUAGCCGACCUGAGAGGGUGAUCGGCCACACUGGAACUGAGACACGGUCCAGACUCCUACGGGAGGCAGCAGUAGGGAAUCUUCCGCAAUGGGCGAAAGCCUGACGGAGCAACGCCGCGUGAGUGAUGAAGGUCUUCGGAUCGUAAAACUCUGUUAUUAGGGAAGAACAAAUGUGUAAGUAACUGUGCACGUCUUGACGGUACCUAAUCAGAAAGCCACGGCUAACUACGUG